GGGCCAUUUGCACCUGUACCUGCCAUGGAGGACAACAGGGCUGGAGAUGUGAGGACUGCCAUCGCCCUGGUGCUGAUGUAGAUGCAGACCUGCUGCAGCCCAUACACACAGACGCCUUCGACCGCUACAGAGAGAACGCCCUGCGCAAACUGAAUAUCCAGUGUCCUAUUGAAUGUCUGAGACCAGACCUGUUGGCAGACGCCCAAAGCCCAACUGAAUAGGGUCCCUCUUUCUCCCUUGUUCUGCUAACUUUGUGGUUAGCCUUUAUGUGAAGGAAGUUUAUCCCCCCCAACCCCCUAAAAAAAGAACAACAACCCAUCCCAGCUCCCUAAAAUGAUACUGUCUCACCUUCACCUUCAAGAGAGAAACUGGAGGAUUGUGAAACAAAAUGUCCACCACUCUCUCUGUAGACCAGUUGUUGUGAAGGCUUGGUUGUUAGGACAGGCUGAGAUUUUAGGGAGCUGAGAUGGGACCUGUACAAAAACUGCACGUCUUCCUUACUGGUUCUGAUUUUUGGUUUGGACCAGAACACCAGCACCAUCUUUAUCCUGCUGCACCUUGUUGUACACCUGCCUUUUGCAGUAAGACUCCCUACCACAUCACAUCCUAUCCUGUUGCAUCACUUCCUGUGUAAGAACUGUCUUAUUCACUUUGCUGGGCUUCCCACUCACCCCCACCUUGCCCUCCAGCCCCGUCCACGGCCAAUCGAGAAAGAGAAUGCAAAGCUGACCUAUGCAGUGAACCUUAGUGCCUUACAGUAUUCCCUCUUUGAGGUUC